ACCUUUUGCAACAACAGGGAUGUACUUGGUCUGAUCUAGGAAGCUAAGCAGGUUUGGGCCUUGUUAGUAUUUGGAUGGGAGACCAUGCAGGAAUACUGGGUGCUAUAGGCU
rnacentral:rRNA from 1 species